rnacentral:lncRNA from 1 species
CUUGUCUCAGUGUCUGACACUGUAACCACCAAUAGUUUAUACUUAUACCCAUCUCUGUAUGCUGCAAUUCUACAUAACAAUCUGCAAUUCUAUGUUUCAUCAAGGCAUUGCAUAGCAUUAACAGAUCAAUUGGAUCAUGGGCAUUUAAGUUUUUACAUCAAGUUGCUGAAUAAGCAAGACCUUUUUUAAGGCAAGUGGGUGAAUACUUUGCGUAACCAGCUUCAGCUACAAACAUCAGCUUCACAGCCCAAUUUGUGGACAAAUGCAAAAGGUUCUCUCUUGACCAGUUAAUUGCUACUUCUGAAGCAGUUGAUGAUGAUGGUUAUCAAACAAACUAUAAUAGGGAUAUGUUCUAUCAUUUCCAUUCCCAAUAAAAAGCAUGCAGCAAACUUCUAAAUGCAAACAGAGUGAAAAAAAUGACAAGAAGCAAGAUUCUGUUUUAUUGGUUAUCAUCACAGAUUAUCUGUAAGUUAUGUUUUGACACAGAAUUUUGGGAAUGCAUCACAGACAGCAGUUUCAGGGCUAGGGGCUAUAAGGUCGACUAAGCUCUUUGUAUGUCAAUUCGUUGGCUGCUACCUGCUGGAUUUUCCCUCUUUGACUUUCUAAGAACGUACCUGCUCUUGAUUUGAAAUUUAUGCUGCGCCGCUAUUUAAUGAAUUAAUCCAGUAGGCGGAACCUGCCGAAAGAUCGGCAACGACUGUCGACUGACGGACGUGCUAUUAUUCUGCAAUACUGCUCACUUGCGUGCCAACUUUUCAUUGCCCCGAGGCAUGUGAGAGUUGAGCCUGCUCCAGCUACCCGGCCAGCAUCAUUUGUCUACACAGCCGACUGUACUACUACCCCAGCCCUCACCUAGCACGGAGUUUCUUGAGGGCGACGAGAUCAUGAUAUUGAUGAGGAGAAUAUGUUGUUUAAUUGUACAGCCCCGUAGCACAAUGCCAGAGUGUAUGUGGAGAUAAUGUGAAGUUGUGCCGGACAUGAUCCGGACAUGGGCCGGGCAAGCGGAUCGUGAGUCUCCCGAGGCUGAACUAUUUCAACAUUUUUUUUGAAACCUUAUUAGUCCACUUAAUUGAAUUUAUAAAAAUUUUCAGCUAAUUUAGUGAGUGUGAUUUUUCACACGGAUUUUAAAAUUUAUGAUUAUUAAAUGAUUUGUUCGUGUUUAAAAUUAACUUCCAAUCAUUAUAGUAUGUGCAACCACGGUUUAAUGGUUAUGGCACGCAGUGUAGUUAGUUAUUAAGUCUCUUGUCUCCUCCGGUGGUUUCCGGGUUCUAUUCCCCCUCCCUCCAUGGUUCCCUUUCGUGCUUGCAUAAAAUAAUCAUGUAUGUAAAACGGGACAGUAAAGAUAUUGUUUAACAUCUCAUAAUGGAAACCCCAGGAAAUGAAGUUGAGAAGGCAGAGAAGAAGUUAAAGGAUGCAAAAUUGGCUGUGAAG